rnacentral:lncRNA from 1 species
CACACACACAAACACACACACACAAUUAUAUUGUUUGAUUUCCCCCUUUCUAAUUUAUAUGCCCUUUAUUUCUUUUUCUCUCUUGCAGUACUAGGAACUGAAUACAGGGGUACUCUAUCACUGAACUAUGUCCCCUAUCCUUUUUAUUUUUUAUUAUGAGAUGGGGUCUCACCAAGUUGCCAAGGCCAGCCUUGAACUUGCCAUCCUCCUUCCUCAACCUCCUGAGCUGCUGGGAUUGCAGACACGCACCACCGUGCCCAGCUGGCUGAAGUUUAUUUCUUUCUGUUGUCUGAUUGUUCUGGUAUAGACUUCAUCUAUUUGUUUUUAAUAUGCUCCAAAGUGACUUUCUUUUACCUAUGUGAGUAAUAGCAGGCUUAGGAUAAAAUUAAAUUUAUUAUUCCUUAGGUUAGGAGUGUUUUUUUCUGUUAUGUUGCUUUCCACACAGUGUUCAACCUUAUGUUUUGGAUAUGGUUGAUGCUUUUUCCAUGUUGUUAAUAUGAUAUUAAUUUUCAAAAAUUAAUAAGUAAGCCUCAUGAGUUAUAUAAUAUUUAUUUCCAUGUUAUGAGUUAGAUUACCAAUAACAGAUUGUUUGAUUGAAUUAAGUAUUACUAUGUUGAUUGUUUGGAUAUGAGGUGACCUCCCAAAGCUCCUAUAUUAUUGAAGCAUAUUCAGAUGUAAAAUGAUUUUACAUCUGUAAUUAACCAGUCCAUUCUAAUUUGAAUGGACUAAUUGUAGUAAAUGUGGGCAGAUGGGGCAUGAUUAGAGGACUGCUGGCAGGUGGCCUACUCUUAGGGAUUGUAUUUUGUGCUCCUGACUCCUCCUCCUCUCUGUUUGUUUCCUGGUCUCCAAGAAGUAUACAGUUUUCCUCUGCUGUACCCUUCCAUCAUCGUGUUCUGCUUUACUGCAGGCUCAAAGUGAUAAAGUUGUUCAACCAUGGACUGAACUUCUGAAACCAUGAACCCAAAAUAAACUUUACUCUUUUAA